GUAAGUCUGGAAUUACUAACGACUCGUUUCAGGUGUUCAGAAUCGGUUCUUUCUUUUGGGAGUCAAUAACUCCAUUUGUCGUGCACUUUGAUUUUUGAAACUUUGCAGACUUUUUCAGACUUUACGUUUCGUUUGCAAAUCUACAGUAUAUUAAACGUUUGUCUGCAUGAGGCUAAUUAGUUGUGUACAUCUUCACAGUUGAACAAACACAACGGAGCCGCUCUUCAGGGCCUUCACUCCGCAAACAACAGGUCAUUCCACUGAUUUAUGAACCGGAGAGAUCUUCAGCUGCUGCUCAGGUGUCACUCACGUGGCAGAAACUCAACAGGCAACAGGAAGAGGAGCUUGACCAAGCACAGAAAGGAGCAGAUGCCUUCAGUGCUUUGGAGCAGGAAGAUCGAAAGUUGCCUUUCAACCCCCUGGAUGUAUUGAUUGUCCUUGAAAAUGAGCUGGGGACAUUUGUCAAAACUUGGGUCAGUGCACUGACUUUUUGGACUACUUUAUGCCCUUCACAUCAGCUACCCAAAGAAGCUGACACAUGUUCUUUCUUUUUUUGAGGUCAUACAGUAAAUGGUGUUGCAUCUUGAUGAUGGCAAUGUCUGGCCAAUUUGAAAAGAUCUUUUGCAUGAAUAGUUUCAUUUAUACAUACAAACUGUUUCUGGUGUUUUUGUUACAGUAUUAGUUCAGAGAGUUUUCUCCUACAUGCAUAUGUUUCUGCAGUGUGCAGUCUGUUAAAAUGCAUUUUGAAUUGUGUUUAUUUAGAUUUACUUAAAUUCUUGCAUAGCCCACUUGUUUUUUUGUUUAUCGUCAUGAUUGUGUUACUAUUUUUGUAUUUGAGAACAUAUUGUGGUUCUAG